UACGAAGGGGGCUAGCGUUGUUCGGAAUUACUGGGCGUAAAGCGCACGUAGGCGGAUUGUUAAGUUAGGGGUGAAAUCCCAGGGCUCAACCCUGGAACUGCCUUUAAUACUGGCAAUCUCGAGUCCGAGAGAGGUGAGUGGAAUUCCGAGUGUAGAGGUGAAAUUCGUAGAUAUUCGGAGGAACACCAGUGGCGAAGGCGGCUCACUGGCUCGGUACUGACGCUGAGGUGCGAAAGCGUGGGGAUCAAACAGGG
rnacentral:rRNA from 1 species